rnacentral:rRNA from 1 species
CCUACGGGGGGCUGCAGUUAGGAAUAUUGGACAAUGGGGGAAACCCUGAUCCAGCCAUGCCGCGUGUGUGAAGAAGGCCUUAGGGUUGUAAAGCACUUUCAUCUGCGAAGAUAAUGACAGUAACAGAAGAAGAAGCUCCGGCUAAAUUCGUGCCAGCAGCCGCGGUAAUACGAAUGGAGCGAGCGUUGUUCGGAAUCACUGGGCGUAAAGCGUGCGCAGGCGGUCAUGAAAGUUAGAAGUGAACUCCCAGGGCUUAACCUUGGAAUUGCUUUUAA